AAAUUGAAGAGUUUGAUCAUGGCUCAGAUUGAACGCUGGCGGCAGGCCUAACACAUGCAAGUCGAACGGUAACAGGAAGCAGCUUGCUGCUUUGCUGACGAGUGGCGGACGGGUGAGUAAUGUCUGGGAAACUGCCUGAUGGAGGGGGAUAACUACUGGAAACGGUGGCUAAUACCGCAUAACGUCGCAAGACCAAAGAGGGGGACCUUCGGGCCUCUUGCCAUCAGAUGUGCCCAGAUGGGAUUAGCUAGUUGGUGAGGUAACGGCUCACCAAGGCGACGAUCCCUAGCUGGUCUGAGAGGAUGACCAGCCACACUGGAACUGAGACACGGUCCAGACUCCUACGGGAGGCAGCAGUGGGGAAUAUUGCACAAUGGGCGCAAGCCUGAUGCAGCCAUGCCGCGUGUAUGAAGAAGGCCUUAGGGUUGUAAAGUACUUUCAGCGGGGAGGAAGGUGUUGCGGUUAAUAACCGCAGCAAUUGACGUUACCCGCAGAAGAAGCACC
rnacentral:rRNA from 1 species